rnacentral:rRNA from 1 species
UACGUAGGGUGCGAGCGUUGUCCGGAAUUAUUGGGCGUAAAGAGCUCGUAGGCGGUGUGUCGCGUCGGCCGUGAAAACCUGCAGCUUAACUGUGGGCUUGCGGUCGAUACGGGCAUCACUGGAGUUCGGCAGGGGAGACUGGAAUUCCUGGUGUAGCGGGUGAAAUGCGCAGAUAUCAGGAGGAACACCGGUGGCGAAGGCGGGUCUCUGGGCCGAAUGACUGACGCUCGAGGCACGAAAGCCGUGGGGAGCGAACAG